GUGAACGCUGGCGGUAGGCCUAACACAUGCAAGUCGAACGGCAGCACAGUAAGAGCUUGCUCUUACGGGUGGCGAGUGGCGGACGGGUGAGGAAUACAUCGGAAUCUACUUUUUCGUGGGGGAUAACGUAGGGAAACUUACGCUAAUACCGCAUACGACCUACGGGUGAAAGCAGGGGAUCUUCGGACCUUGCGCGAUUGAAUGAGCCGAUGUCGGAUUAGCUAGUUGGCGGGGUAAAGGCCCACCAAGGCGACGAUCCGUAGCUGGUCUGAGAGGAUGAUCAGCCACACUGGAACUGAGACACGGUCCAGACUCCUACGGGAGGCAGCAGUGGGGAAUAUUGGACAAUGGGCGCAAGCCUGAUCCAGCCAUACCGCGUGGGUGAAGAAGGCCUUCGGGUUGUAAAGCCCUUUUGUUGGGAAAGAAAAGCAGCAGGUUAAUACCCCGCUGUUCUGUCGGUACCCAAAGAAUAAGCACCGGCUAACUUCGUG
rnacentral:rRNA from 1 species